rnacentral:misc_RNA from 1 species
AACGCACAUUGCGCCCACCAGCACUCUGGUGGGCAUGCCUGUUCGAGCGUCAUUUCACCCUCAAGCCCUGGGCUUGGUGUUGGGGCACUACGUUGUAGGCCCCGAAGAGCAGUGGCGGACCCGCCGAGCCCCGAGCGUAGUACUCUCUCGCCCAGGGACCCGGCGGGCUCAGCCGUUAAACACCACUGGUUGACCUCGGAUCAGGUAGGAAUACCCGCUGAACUUAA